CACAUUAAAACAGAAAUGGUGUUGGAUCUUGGAGAGUAGAAUGCCUGUGGUGCACUUCACUGCUUUUCUAGUUUUCAGUGCCCAGCUAAAAAGCCAGGCGUUUGUACUCCUAGUGCUGGGAAGCAGAGAGCAAAGGAUCCUGGGAACACACCACUCCAUUGCUCUGGUCUCAUUGGUGACCUCCUCCAGGUUCAGAAAAUAUGACCAAGAGUGAUUGAAGAAGGGCCACCUUCAGAGAGCCAGUUCAGUCCAGUGUGAGAUCAGCCUGGUGGAGACAGGCAAUACCAGUGCCCGCCACAGCCACAGAGAGCACUGAAGACAUCCCCAGUGAAGGGCAUUAUUACCUACAAAGGCAGAUUGUGGACCACACAAGAGAAGCCUCACUCGGAUGACUUCUUCAUCUUCAGGAGCAACACCACAAGGAGGACCAGAGCUGUGAAAUAUACCAACGGGUAGUGCUGAAGGAGCCUGAUUCUGACAUUCUUAAAAAACAAUAAACCCAAGUUUAGCUCUUUGACUGCCAGCAGAAUUAUGUUUAGUGAGCAUCUUGGCAAGAGCAAAAUAGAAUGAAUUGGUAUAUUAGCAAUUCCUUUUCUUCUGUAUUUUCUGAGACAGGGCAUCACUUUGGCUGGCCUGGAAGUCACCAGUGUAGAUCAGGCUGGCCCUGAAUUCAAGAGACUCACCUGUUUUUGCCUACUCAGAGCUACUGGAAUUAAAGGCAAAAUAACACCACACUCUGCUUGAUUCCUCUUUUUUCUUUUAAAAAGAAACUAAAAGUAGUGAGAACCUGGAAUCAUUUC
rnacentral:lncRNA from 1 species